GUCAUUAGAAUGCAGCCAUCCUGGGGCAUGACUUUGAAGAAUUUUGGUUGAACAAAUCAACUCCACAACAAACAUGUAUUAAACCUGCUUAUGACAGCUGAGAACAGACAGAUGUAUAGCAACACCACAAAUAUGGCAGUUUAGCAAGACAUUGGCAUAAAAAUUCUUCUCAAUUAUUCUCCAAACUGAUGCAGAUAUAUCAAAGUAUCAACAAGCAAUGUUUUGACAUGCCAAUCCAUGGAAGAAAAUGCGCUGUUCAAACUUUGUAACACUUUCGCAAAAAUUUUCUGCAAUAAAUGAAUAACAUUAUU